AUGGGUCUAUUGUUUGGGCAUCAUAUUGUAUCUGGCCUGCUGAAAUCCCAGCGUUUGUUUGAAAUUCCCAUCUCAUUCUCCUGGUCAGAAGGAGGUCAGGCUUGUGCCAGAAUAAACCUGGGAAGAUGCCACAUGGCUGGGCGUCUGCUAUGGGAAGCUAGAGCACAGAAACAGGAAGUGGUGUCCUGGAAGUCUGCUGAAGAUUCUCCAAUGUGAACUGGUUGCAUUGAAGGCCACAAUUAACAGCCCUUUGCAAUGUGACCUUGCAGAUUCUUCCAUCAAGAAGUAAGUCUAUUUCCUUACUCCAUGACUCUGGAAUGACUUUCAUUGGCCUUCAGAAUGUGGCAGAAGUGACAUACGUGCUUCCGCUUUUUCUCUGGAAACCACCCACCAUGUCACUACCACGUUAGUAAACCUGGAUCACUUUGUGAUUAGCGCUUCAACAUAUGAAUUUUGGGGGAACACAAUUCGGUCCAUAUCAGUGUUAAAAAGGUCGUAUGGUUCAACCCCUGAGUAAGAUGUAUCUACAUCUAGAUUUUCAUAACAAAAG
rnacentral:lncRNA from 1 species